rnacentral:rRNA from 1 species
UGGGGAAUUUUGGACAAUGGGCGAAAGCCUGAUCCAGCAAUGCCGCGUGUGUGAAGAAGGCCUUCGGGUUGUAAAGCACCUUUGUCCGGAAAGAAAUCCUUGGCUCUAAUACAGUCGGGGGAUGACGGUACCGGAAGAAUAAGCACCGGCUAACUACGUGCCAGCAGCCGCGGUAAUACGUAGGGUGCAAGCGUUAAUCGGAAUUACUGGGCGUAAAGCGUGCGCAGGCGGUUUGCUAAGACCGAUGUGAAAUCCCCGGGCUCAACCUGGGAACUGCAUUGGUGACUGGCAGGCUAGAGUAUGGCAGAGGGGGGUAGAAUUCCACGUGUAGCAGUGAAAUGCGUAGAGAUGUGGAGGAAUACCGAUGGCGAAGGCAGCCCCCUGGGCCAAUACUGACGCUCAUGCACGAAAGCGUGGGGAGCAAACAGGAUUAGAUACCCUGGUAGUCCACGCCCUAAACGAUGUCAACUAGUUGUUGGGGAUUCAUUUCCUUAGUAACGUAGCUAACGCGUGAAGUUGACCGCCUGGGGAGUACGUCGCAAGAUUAAAACUCAAAUGAAUUGACGGGGUCAUAGCUGUUUCCU